rnacentral:lncRNA from 1 species
GAUGACACCACAAUUGAGCAAUGAAGAAGAUAAAUCAAGAGACAAAAUAGAUACAAGCAACCAACUAUUGCGUUACUAGAAAUCGCCUAAACAAUCUAUUACAAGACUUGCUUAUCAGCUUUACACAACUUGUUAACACCAUAACAGCUGCUACUGAAAGAUUCUUAAUCUACUCAAACUUGUCUCUCUGUCGUCAGUACUUCAGCAACUGCUUCAGCACGACCCAAGAACACUCUCAAGAACUUUUCUCUCUCUAUAUGAUCAGCCUCUAUGUCUAUGUCUUUUUACGGACGAUCCAUAGCUAUCUUAUAUUAUUCUCCACUUCCUGAAACCCUAGUCUCUAAGGCAACAUGGAUAUGAACAUCUUCCAUAACAUCAAGUGUAACUUUUCUUUUUUUGGAAUGCACUUAUUUCUCUUUUUUUAAGUCAUAAACUUGCUCUUCAAGUUUAUUUCUCUUUCCAUAUCUCCAAGAUACUCUCUUGCUCUCCAAGUCUACACGAUUCCCGUUCAGCACCUUGAUUCCACAUGGUCUUCACCACUCAACACGACGUCUUUUUUUAGCAACUACGUCAGCGACUUCUCUCCAAAUCUACACGACUCCUAUUCAGCACCUUGAUUCCACAUGGUC